UACGAAGGGGGCUAGCGUUGCUCGGAAUCACUGGGCGUAAAGCGCACGUAGGCGGAUCUUUAAGUCAGGGGUGAAAUCCUGGAGCUCAACUCCAGAACUGCCUUUGAUACUGAAGAUCUCGAGUCCGGAAGAGGUGAGUGGAACUCCGAGUGUAGAGGUGAAAUUCGUAGAUAUUCGGAAGAACACCAGUGGCGAUGGCGGCUCACUGGUCCGGUACUGACGCUGAGGUGCGAAAGCGUGGGGAGCAAACAGG
rnacentral:rRNA from 1 species